CUUUAAGAUGCAUUGAUGUUUCCAUCAGCUCUCUUGCACUUUUGCCUUCCUUCUUGAGACCAGCAUGGACCAAGGAGAGGACACUGCUUCAGUAUGGGCAAAGCCCUGCUGAUCGGAAGGCCAGGGCAGACAUGUUUAUACCAUAUCACCCAGCACCUGCUGAAUCGGGAAUUGGCAGCUAACCUAAGGCUGGCCGUUAACCUUUGAGAGAGCUCUGCCCAAACAAGGACAGAAUGGGCAAAUACUGUUCUCACUCUGAGAAGCUGAAUUGUGAUCGUCAGCAAAAUGAGUUGUCAUAUGCAGCCAGCCCAAGGUGACCACAUGGGAACCAUCCUAGAGAAAGGAUUCUGUGACCUCUCUCCUGCUCUAGACUCCUGCCAGUAGUCCCCACUGGCCCCAACCCAAGACAGCAGUCU